AUCCAGCUGACGAGCCACAAAUAGGACGAAACGCGCGUCCUGGAU
rfam:Schistosoma rodhaini strain Burundi genome assembly, scaffold: SROB_scaffold0011340